UAGGGUGGGCUCAGCCCUCAACAAAUUGCAGGGCAAACAGUACACGUCGGUCACGUCCGUGGUUUCCAGCAGCUGUGCUCCUCAAAUGGGCUCGCACUGGUUAUAUCAGCAUUACAGCUCACGUUGCUGCGUGAUAACAGCGACAGAACCCCGCAGCAGCCGCUGGCGUCGCACGGCACCGCGGGCAGGCACCGAGCAGCGGCCGGGAGCAUCCCGGGGACGAACCCGGCCCGGCCGCACCGCUCCGCUCCGGCUCCCGGCGCCGCGUGAAAGCUGGUUUUGUUUCUCCCCUGCCCGAGAGCCGGAGGUGUGUAAACAGGAAGAGGCACUCCCUGCGCAGCCGGCAGCGGGGAAACGAGGAGCAGAAAAUAUUCCCCCAUCGCUUCCUGGCAUCAAAGGUUUCUCCCGUUCUCCCACCCUGAAAAAAUAAAGCCAGGAGCAUCGGCGCGAUGAGAGAUGGAGGGGCAGCGCGGAGCCGGGCGGGCAGGAGCACGGGCAGGAUGGAGAGCAUGAAAAGAGCUCUGUGCAGCCCGACUCUCCUGUGGGCAAUAAGGGCUGCUGAAAGGCCCAGAAAGACGCUUCAUCACGGAGUGUUUAUCGCUGAGGUCAUUUCUACCCUUCCUCUCUUCCCUCCUUCUCCUCCCUCCCUGCCCCAGCACUGGGUGCGGGUUUCUGAGGGCAGAGCCUGUGGUGUCCCAUGUCCCCUCUGUGCCACACAGGUGUCCUGUGGGUGCCUCUUUUGGGGUCAGCUGUACCUGGGACAUUCUUACAUCAAGGAACAGCAAACAGUGCUGCAAAGCCCUUAUUCUCCACAGGCUUCUCGCCCACUCCACCGCAGCAGUUCUGCACGGUGGCAGCGUGAGGUGCCCCCUCCUUCCAACCCCCCGCCCCCUGCAGCAGUGCAGGGCCCAGGCUCCCUGGAAGCCCCAUCCCAGCACACCGCUGUGGUCCCAAGCUGGAUGGCACUGGGGACAGCCCGCUGGAGCUGAGAUACGCGCUGUAACCACCUGGUGGCACCAAAAAAAAGUUGGCUGGGAAGGGUCUAAUUAAUACCAGUUGCAGUCUUUGGCUUGGGAAUUCCAGCGCAGUUUUUAGCAUCUCUGUGGUUCGCUGUGUGGUUGUUAAACACCAAGUCAUGCUUUAUAGCUGGAGGGUUAAUGUCUGUGGGCUGCAGCCUCGCAGCAGGGGAUGGGUUUAGGCUCAGGCUGUUUGGCAAAACUAAAAGGUGCAGUGGUGCCGGAGAGGGGCCGAGCUCAGCAUCAUGCAACACUCCCCAUUCUGCUCCCUGCUAUACGAGUCGCUGCUGAUGCUGUCCCAGGACUGCCCAGGAGCGCUUCCUCCAUCUUGCUGCACAGAUGGACUCAUCUCCCCAGGUCAAAGCCUGACUUGGACAGCCAGCACACUGACCACCCCGUCCCAUCUGGGGGCCCCCGUCAGUUCCUGCUUCUGACACCUCAUCUCCCCGUGGUGGCUCUGCCCUUGGAAAAACAGAUGGGAUCCUCCAGCAGAUGUGGGGAGAUGCUGGCAGCAUGGUGGGGAUUGAAACCCCCUUUGUGCUGUGGAUGCUGUCCGCAGUCAGCAUGGCAGAUGGGCCUGGGUGCCAUUUCUUUCCAGGUCUGUGGCAGAUGGAUCCAUUCCCCCUCCAGCACGAGCCCUCAGCCUGAGGAGGCAGCAGAGAUGGGCUGAUGUUGGAGCUAAAUGCCUUCUGUCUGUUCCCAGAGACCUCAUGCUGUCCCUGCACCCUCCCCAGCAGCUCUCCUCCAUGGCACUAUCCCACUGCUCCCCCAGCUCCAGCAACCAGCACUGGAAACUAUUUCAAAGCAGACCAAACAGCAAAGGCAGCCCCAGGAAUGCGCCAGCCAGGAGGGAGGCUUCAUGCCGUGGGCCCCCGGGUCAGAGCUCAGGAAUAGCAGUCCCAGCGGUGGCUGUGACAGCAUUUUGUGGAUAGCAGCUGGCUCUUAUGGCUCAAAGCAACCCUAAAACUGUCCAAACAAACCCUGAGCUCACGGCUUUCCCGACCCGUGUACAAUCCAUCACUGGCCCUGCUUUAUUGCAGGGUAUCACACAGCUGUGGUGCUCCCUGUGCUCCAGGGAAGGCCCCGAGCUAAGGGUGUGAGCAGCACUGCUCAUGGCAUGGCUGGCGGGGAGGGGGUGUGAGCUGCCCAGUGCUCCAGCAUCGUGCUGACACCCUCAUCCCUCUCUACUAAACCCAUCUGCACCCUGUAGGAUGACAGGCACGCAGGUGGGGUGAAGAUGGGACAGUGCCUGAUGGAGUUGAGCAAGGAGGUCACUGUCCUGUGAGCAGAGCACUGCAUCCUAAUAGGGGUGAGAAGCUGCAGAGGAAACGGAGCCUGGUCCAUACCCAUGAGCACCGCCAAAUAUCCCCAGUCCUCAUCCUUCUCUGCUUUCCGAGCAGCCCUGCUUCCCUCCUUGCCACACAACUUGCACUGCAAGAAGACCAGCACAGCCUGCGGGAUCCUCUCCAGCCCUGCCACCCGCAGCAGCUGCAGGAUGGAGCAGCUCGGUGGGACUUACUGCAAGCUGCGCCGUGUCCAGCCCGGCCCUGUGCCAGCCUGCAGAACCUCCCAGGUCCUUUUCCCCAUUAUAUUGCUAAGCAGGAUGCAAAUUAGCACCAGGACUUCUGAUGAAAGGGAGUUUAAUUGCCUCAGGUAAAGCAUAGCUUAAGGAAAGUGUGGAGAGAGGCAGCAGCUCUUGAUAGACUGAGAGAUUUAUGUGCUUCAGCUGCUCCCGAUGAGCCCUGCUCGCCCCUGCUCCCCAUCGCAUGGUCUCCAUCCUUUGGGGCUGCCCCAUGUGUUGAAAUGUUUGGGUGUCUCUGGGGGACUGAGCCUUGGCUCACAUUAAUCCCCCCUCGCUAACCCGACAACAGGGAGGAAAUUGGCUUCAAUUAAAUGUGUAAAGUUUCAUUUCCCUUUGAAGUGCAGAGCAGCACAAGAGGCUGCUCAGGGAGCGCUAGAGAGUAACUAGAUAAAACCGGGCCCAAAACCUCAGAAGUGGGGACUGGCAAACUGAGGAA